AAGAAUCUUCGGGGCAAGGUGAUCCUGCGUAAGCGGGAAAUUCCUGACCGGCGGUGCAAGCCCGCGACUCUUCCACGUGUGUGGAGGAUUGAUACGGUCGAUCGUUGAAAAGACGAGUAUCCGUAGCCGACAGUAUAGUCUGGAUGAAAGAAGACGAUC
rnacentral:ncRNA from 2 species